UGGGGAAUUUUGGACAAUGGGGGAAACCUGAUCCAGCCAUCCCGCGUGUGCGAUGAAGGCCUUCGGGUUGUAAAGCACUUUUGGCAGGAAAGAAACGUCAUGGGUUAAUACCCCGUGAAACUGACGGUACCUGCAGAAUAAGCACCGGCUAACUACGUUCCAGCAGCCGCGGUAAUACGUAGGGUGCAAGCGUUAAUCGGAAUUACUGGGCGUAAAGCGUGCGCAGGCGGUUCGGAAAGAAAGAUGUGAAAUCCCAGAGCUCAACUUUGGAACUGCAUUUUUAACUACCGGGCUAGAGUGUGUCAGAGGGAGGUGGAAUUCCGCGUGUAGCAGUGAAAUGCGUAGAUAUGCGGAGGAACACCGAUGGCGAAGGCAGCCUCCUGGGAUAACACUGACGCUCAUGCACGAAAGCGUGGGGAGCAAACAGG
rnacentral:rRNA from 1 species